GAAGCCACGUUCCACCAUGAAGGACUUAACACUACAACAAGCCAGGCCAUCCAGGCAAACACAUCCGUCAUUAUCCUUUAUCAUCUUCUUGAUUUGGGUGCCCUGGGUUCAUCCUUGUACCCAUGACCCACCUGGGGUUUAUCGUAUAAUCUCAGACUCCAAUCCACUAAUUAUCUGGCUCAAGGAGCAUUAUACCUAUGGAGUUGAAAUCACCACUCUAUGGCAGCAAGUGCUGGGUGCAUCUGGCUUACAUGGAACCUUGAAGCUGGUGAUAGCAGGCAUGAGGAGGCAUCUUCUGAAGCUGGAGCCAAAUCAUGGAGAGGAUGAUUGUUCUUUUGCUGAGCAUAUAGGCAAGUGUGGAUAGCUGGAACAAACACGCUGAAGGUGAGAUAAGCAAUGAAAGACCAAGGAGCUCAGAAGCCGGAGCCAGACUGGUAAUGCAAUGCAUGAAACCAUGCAUGGAUUUUCUUCUUGGACCGCAUCAACAACAAGUACAACCAGCUUCUCUUGAGAAAUUGACUUCUACAGUUAUCUGCUGCUCCAGCAAAGGUGAUGACUUAGAAGUCCAUCAUAAAAUGCAAGACAAGAAAAGAGUGGAUUCAAACGUCCAUGUCAGGCAAGCAGUUUGCCAUGGGGAUGCUUUCAUACAACUUCGACGAUACAAAGUUCAAAGCUGUAGAAGCAAAUCAGUUAGAAAUACCUCCUACCUGCCAUGAGGGACAUGACCAUUUGAUCAGUUGGACUCAUCCCUUACUAUUCGAAAUGCAUAUCGUAUAAUACAGACUUAAAUGGUGAGUUACUUCCUAGAAAUAGCAAUUAUAGAGUCUAACAAAAGCCUUUGCUUUCUCACAUUUUGACCAUUAGCAAGAAUGGCUCAAUUUCAAAGAUGACAUAUGAUUAAACAUGUGAACAAGUCAUAUGUCCAAUUAAUCAAGAAACGUGAAUCCAGCAUUGAUUUAUGGACAGAAGAAACUCUGUGUUAUGGAAUUGUCAAUAAAACAUGCAACGACUAAAGUGAAAGAAAAGCAACCUAACAUAAAUUUGUCACAUUAUCAAAAGAUGAAAAGAGCCAUAGCAAUUUGUGUGUUUGUGCAAGUCUUUUUUUUCUUUUCUUUUUUUUAAUGAUAAAGAGCCAGAGUAAUUCCAAAUCAUCAUAAGAAAAUUUUGUACCCUUAACAAAAUAUCUGCACAAGAAAACCCGAAAACGGAGACCAAACCAAUCAAAUAAAUACACAAGGUAGACAAAAAGAGAUGUGAUUCAAACUAAUAAAAUCCUAAUCCUCAAAGCAUGUAAAAAAUGAGAGUGAAAGUAAUACCUAAGUGGAAAGACUCAUAUAUAUUACGAAAUGUUGAUUUGUCAAUAAUCAUAAAAGGAGA